rnacentral:rRNA from 1 species
ACGUAGGUGACGAGCGUUGUUCGGAUUUAUUGGGCGUAAAGGGUCCGCAGGGGGUCAAGUAAGUCUGAUGUGAAAUCCUGCAGCUCAACUGCAGAACUGCAUUGGAAACUACUUGACUAGAGCAUCGGAGAGGAGAAUGGAAUUCCUGGUGUAGCGGUGGAAUGCGUAGAUAUCAGGAAGAACACCGAAAGCGAAGGCAGUUCUCUGGAAGAUUGCUGACUCUCAGGGGCGAAAGCGUGGGGAGCAAACAG